rnacentral:rRNA from 1 species
UUGGAGGGCAAGUCUGGUGCCAGCAGCCGCGGUAAUUCCAGCUCCAAUAGCGUAUAUUAAAGUUGUUGUGGUUAAAAAGCUCGUAGUUGAACCUUGGGCCUGGCUGGCCGGUCCGCCUCACCGCGUGCACUGGUCCGGCCGGGCCUUUCCCUCUGCGGAACCCCAUGCCCUUCACUGGGUGUGGCGGGGAAACAGGACUUUUACUUGAAAAAAUUAGAGUGCUCAAGGCAGGCCUAUGCUCGAAUACAUUAGCAUGGAAUAAUAGAAUAGGA